AUGGAGGUAGCAGGCAUGGAGUUCCUUCUGGACACCGUCGACAGGUUCCCCUUGCUGGAGGAAUUCGCCGACAGUGUUGAGCAGCCGGAUCCAGUUCCCCUGGCGCGGAUGGAAGCAAACGAGCCAAGUUACGCUGGUAGCGCUGUCUCAAAAGAUGAUUCUGGUUGUGCCCAACAGAUUGGUGAAGUUGAGGUGGACAGGAAUGCACCUGCUGCUCGCGGGCGUGCGGCCACAUCUCCAACUCGGUCAGCGCAGUCCACUGGCAGGGUGAACCCCGAAGCCCCCGGGUGGACAAAGAGGUUAAGGCUGGGGAGUGCGCCACCGGACAGGACACCAUGUCCCAGCCGUAUGAGCGCGCUUGAGGAGUCGAUGCGCAAGUAUGCUGAAGAACCCAGGAAAAAUGUGGUGCAGCCGUCGUUGGGUCUGACCUUUGAUUCAGUCGGUGAAGCAUACGACUUUUACAAUUUGUAUUCCUGGGAAACGGUUUCGGCAUUAGAUAUGAAAAGAGCCGGCUUAACGUUGAGAGGACAAAGUGUAUGCAAGAAAUUGUGUGCGGUUGCUCGGGGAAGCCAGAAGCAGAAAAUAGUAGGUCCUGUAGGUGUGAGUGUCCUGCUUUGA
rnacentral:rRNA from 1 species